rnacentral:rRNA from 1 species
GACGGAGGGUGCUAGCGUUGUUCGGAAUCACUGGGCGUAAAGCGCGCGUAGGCGGACCUGCAAGUCGGGGGUGAAAGCCCGAGGCUCAACCUCGGAACUGCCUUCGAUACUGCGGGUCUCGAGUCCGGGAGAGGUGAGUGGAAUUCCUAGUGUAGAGGUGAAAUUCGUAGAUAUUAGGAAGAACACCAGUGGCGAAGGCGGCUCACUGGCCCGGUACUGACGCUGAGGCGCGAAAGCGUGGGGAGCGAACAGG